UACGUAGGGUGCAAGCGUUGUCCGGAAUUAUUGGGCGUAAAGAGCUCGUAGGCGGCUUGUCACGUCGGCUGUGAAAACCCGGGGCUCAACCCCGGGCCUGCAGUCGAUACGGGCUAGCUAGAGUUCGGCAGGGGAGACUGGAAUUCCUGGUGUAGCGGUGAAAUGCGCAGAUAUCAGGAGGAACACCGGUGGCGAAGGCGGGUCUCUGAGCCGAUACUGACGCUGAGGAGCGAAAGCGUGGGGAGCGAACAGG
rnacentral:rRNA from 1 species